rnacentral:rRNA from 1 species
GAUCAUGGCUCAGGACGAACGCUGGCGGCGUGCUUAACACAUGCAAGUCGAACGAUGACGAUGGUGCUUGCACCGUCUGAUUAGUGGCGAACGGGUGAGUAACACGUGAGUAACCUGCCCUCCUCUUCGGGAUAACCGCCGGAAACGGUGGCUAAUACCGGAUAUGAAUGCCUGCCGCAUGGUGGGUGUUGGAAAGAUUUAUCGGUGGGGGAUGGACUCGCGGCCUAUCAGUUUGUUGGUGAGGUAAUGGCUCACCAAGGCGAUGACGGGUAGCCGGCCUGAGAGGGCGACCGGCCACACUGGGACUGAGACACGGCCCAGACUCCUACGGGAGGCAGCAGUGGGGAAUAUUGCACAAUGGGCGAAAGCCUGAUGCAGCGACGCCGCGUGGGGAUGACGGCCUUCGGGUUGUAAACCUCUUUCAGCAGGGAAGAAGCGAGAGUGACGGUACCUGCAGAAGAAGCGCCGGCUAACUACGUGCCAGCCGCAGC